UACGUAGGGUGCAAGCGUUUAAUCGGAAUUACUGGGCGUAAAGCGUGCGCAGGCGGUUUUGUAAGUCUGUCGUGAAAUCCCCGGGCUCAACCUGGGAAUUGCGAUGGAGACUGCAAGGCUAGAAUCUGGCAGAGGGGGGUAGAAUUCCACGUGUGAGCAGUGAAAUGCGUGGAGAUGUGGAGGAACACCGAUGGCGAAGGCAGCCCCCUGGGUCAAGAUUGACGCUCAUGCACGAAAGCGUGGGGAGCAAACAGG
rnacentral:rRNA from 1 species